UACGUAGGGUCCGAGCGUUGUCCGGAAUUAUUGGGCGUAAAGGGCUCGUAGGCGGUUCGUCACGUCGGGAGUGAAAACUCGGGGCUUAACCCCGAGCCUGCUUCCGAUACGGGCAGACUAGAGGUAGGCAGGGGAGAGCGGAACUCCUGGUGUAGCGGUGGAAUGCGCAGAUAUCUGGAGGAACACCGGUGGCGAAGGCGGCAUCCUGGACCGACACUGACGCUGAGGAGCGAAAGCGUGGGGAGCGAACAGG
rnacentral:rRNA from 1 species